UUUUGCUGCUGUGGCUGGCUUAGCUGGAGCUGGACAGGCACAUGUACGUCCUCCCCAAUGCUUUGACCAUUUGUGACUACCAAUUCUUUGUUUGCACCAUUGACAUCCCUUGUUCCGUAAACCUGGAUGAGAAACUUUUCUGUUAAGGUUUACCUUCUUAUAGAGUUCCACAUUUUCUUGAUGAAUGAGAUUACCCUGCAACAAGACAAUGCAAUUUAGGCACUUUGAGCUAAUUCAGUAUGAUAGUAAGUAGUUGAAUGUAUCAUUUCAGGGGUUACCUUUCUGGUCAGUUCUUGAAUUUCAUCCAUUAACAUUUGGUCCUACAGCAGUGGAGGAAAUGUUACCAAACGGCGUUUGCUUUAUUUGGCAUGCUAUUUUGAACUUAAAAACUGACGUGACAUGGAAAUAGAAUUUUCAAACCUUCUUCAUACGGACACCACGAAGGCUCAUUUCCAACUGGCUCUCCAAUUUCUGUAAAUCUUUUACGGUCAAUCCAGAAAGUUCCUCACCCAUCAUUUGCCUGUUUUGACGUGCAGGAGCAUAAUUUCAGUAAACAGGAUUUGUUUCGUAGACAAUAAAGCUUUUCAUAGGCAUACACAGGAGAUGCAAUGGACCUUUUAUUUCUUGUCUAUUAUUGGGGCCAUUUUUACUGUUGGUGCAUUCAAUGCUUUAAGGUUUUGCAGUUGUUGUCUAAGAACUGCUGCCUCCCUUUGCCAUAACUGAAAAAUAAGAUUUUGCAGUUGUUGAUACAAUGGUACGAUUCAGUCACAGAAUUUAUUGCUCAAAGUUUGAAUGUGCAUAUUAAUAAAUUCAACAAUGAAACAUUACCAUAACAAUGCAUAUUUAUAGACCUGACACUGCUAUAGAUGUAAGGUAAUUCACAAAAGAAUCAAACACAUUUAGGUCCAAGGCUCUUGCUAGAUUCUUUUUUAAAUCUUGUAAAGGAAGUUGUGUUAUGUAUUAAAUUAAUGAGUUAGUCAAACCAGGAUUUUGAUAGUUUAAUUAUUUGGAUGAUAAGUCACUUAUCAUGUCCUUGGUGUACUUGUCAAAGUUAUGCACACUAUCAGCUACUUAGUUCUUUCUCUGGAUGCUUGAUUCAUUUUUUGAAUCCUUAUCAAGCAACUUAGCUAGUAAAAUUAGGCUGUUAGGGCCAGCUUUUCAAAAUCCCAUGGGAAAUUUAUAUCAACUGAGAGUCUGACAGAUGCUGUUUAUUGUAGAAAUUGCAAAUUGCAAAAAUUGUUCUUGAAGUAAUAGAGCUUCUAUUUGGAGAUUAGAGAAUGCUUUUGGCUUAUAUCACUGGUAAAAAGUUUUAAGGCAUAUAAAAGAGAUGGAAAAAUGAAUGCAAAAGUAGAUAGAUCAUAGAUGAGUCUCUGGAUUGAUCUAGAAGCAGUAAAAUGUUUAAAGGCAUAAACGAGAUGGAGAUAUGAAUGUGAAAGUAGAUAGAUCAUGGAUGAGUCUCUGGAUUUGAUCUAGAUUCAAGAAAUACAAGAUAUAUUUACCCUUGGAGUAUGCUGUUGAUUUGGAGCUGUUUGUUGAUAUGAAUUAUUGGAUUAAGCUUAUGCAUUUUUUGAUACAUAAAAGAGAUGAAGAUAUAUCUUCUCAAGAAAAUUGUGAGAUCUAAACUUGAGGGGAAGAUAAAAUAGGCUUUACUACUGUCAACUCUUGUACUGGAGAUUUCACCAUGGUGAAGUACAAUAAUUUUUCAUGGACAAGCUUGUAUGGGAGAGUUCAAGGCUUCAUCAUCUACUCCAAUCUUCAAAGAGUAAGAUAGGUGCAGAGUAAAUUUCCUAUCGACAAUGGCUUUCUAAAUUAAGAAAAUAUUCUUCUGUUUACAUAGGAACCUUAGAUAGCUAAAUGCAAUGUUAGUAACUUUUGCAGGUUGAAUGGCAUCACUAUGAGACAGGAUCAGUUAUAUGCUUUUCACACUCUAUUGCACUACAUUUAUGUAAGGUGUUGCCUUGUUCCAGUAUUAUAUGCAUACAGUAUAUUGAUCUUCUACCCACCAAGCCUCAAAAAGAUCCUUCUGUGAUGACUCCAUGUAGCAAUUUGUGGUAGGAAUCUGGGCUACUAAACAUAAACAUAAAACAUGUAAGUUCAGCAUAUUACUAAGAACUAUAGACAACAUGAAGACUAGUGGAUGAUUUUACCACAAAUCCUCUCAUUGGAAUCUUACUGGUCAGAAUUAAGACCUGCUCAAACUGUUCAAUUAUCUAUGCUUGGUCUGGACCUUUUUUUUUUUAAUUUUAAAAUAAAUUCUCUUUCGCUGAGCUAAAAGUAUGUCCUACACUUGUAGAGUUUCUAGACAUCAUCUCACCAUAGUAUUUCCUUUUUAUUAGUUUCAAAAAGUCACUUGCUAGUUGUACCCAUGGUGUAUCAUUUGAAUAUAGUAUUUAUCUUUUGGCAGCUGUUUCCUGAGGUUUAUGAUGAGAUUGCCUGUCUUCUAGAAAUUAAAAGUCCCAACCUCAGAAGAAAAGAGUAUUUUGGUGGGUAUAAUGACCAACAAAGGUUUAGUUAAAUCUUAACAUAGAUUUGAAGAGAGCAGAGCUUAGUUU